AGUGAACGCUGGCGGUAGGCCUAACACAUGCAAGUCGAACGGCAGCACAGUAAGAGCUUGCUCUUACGGGUGGCGAGUGGCGGACGGUUGAGGAAUACAUCGGAAUCUACUUUUUCGUGGGGGACAACGUAGGGAAACUUACGCUAAUACCGCAUACGACCUACGGGUGAAAGCAUCGGAUCUUCGGACCUUGCGCGAUUGAAUGAGCCGAUGUCGGAUUAGCUAGUUGGCGGGGUAAAGGCCCACCAAGGCGACGAUCCGUAGCUGGGCUGAGAGGAUGACCAGCCACACUGGGACUGAGACACGGUCCAGACUCCUACGGGAGGCAGCAGUGGGGAAUAUUGGACAAUGGGCGCAAGCCUGAUCCAGCCAUACCGCGUGGGUGAAGAAGGCCUUCGGGUUGUAAAGCCCUUUUGUUGGGAAAGAAAAGCAGCAGGUUAAUACCCCGCUGUUCUGACGGUACCCAAAGAAUAAGCACCGGCUAACUUCGUG
rnacentral:rRNA from 1 species